rnacentral:rRNA from 1 species
AUGAUGGCAAAUUUUACAUUUUUAGAUCAAUGCAAAUUUGCUAUGCAAUAUGGUAUAUUUUACUUCUAUAGCCAUGGCAAAUUUUACUCUAUUUUUGCCAUGGCAAAAUCUGGACUAUUGCUCCAUGGUAAAAUUGCUUUUUUCACAUGGCAAAUUUUACUUUUUCUUUCCAUGGCAAAUUUUCCAUGCCAAGUCUUGCAUAGAGCAUGCCAACUUAAUUGCAUGGAGUACACAUCCAUGUAUGAAUACAUUCAUGUCAAAUUAAUUAUGUAUAGCACUCUAGUUUGUGAGUCAUGGCAUUUUUAUUUAAUAUAUGAAUACAUUCAUGGCGAUUUUUGA